rnacentral:lncRNA from 1 species
UUUUCUGAGGAAGAAGAGAGAGCAGGCCAGCUGGCAGCUCCUGAGGACCACAGAGAGCAGGAAAAGAGCCAUCUGGAGCAGAUAGGGAAAAGGGUUGUGAGGUGCUUGGAGAGAGACCGUGGGAAUGGACAGAGAGAAGUCUUCAGAGGGAGAAAUGCUGUCACCUACCACAGGUGCCUCUGCAUUGCUUGCAGGCCUCCACCGCCCCCAUCUUCCCUACAGACUAUCAAAGGAAUUAGGAUUUGGAAGGAUGGAUGCACAGAGCACCUAACGUUUAAAAGAACGAACGUACGAGGAUGCCCCAAAACGGAGUCCAGAUGGACGUCAGAGUCCAGCAGACUAUCACAGGCAUUCCAGAUGGAGGAUUUCAGUGGUGCUUUGGAGUACACUUGGAGGCCAAGACUAAUGUAUCUACAGUAGUAGUUUACUUCAGGACAGGAAUAAGCUUUCAAAGUUAAUCUCUCAGUUAACCCCACUAACUGCUUUCUGGAUUGCAUCAUGGAGUGGUCUCGGAUCACAGGAAAUGAAUCCUUUUUGGAUUAAAAUAAACCAAAGGAUGCUUUCUGGUAUUGCA